AACUUUGUAGUUAUUUUUUAGUAAGAAAUUUAUUUAAUUAUUUUCAUUUUUUUUAGUAUUAUUAAGAACUAAUAAUAGGAUUUAACUGUGAGGUUUAAUUUUAAAGUUUAUGGUUUUUUGUUAUUACCUUUUGUAUCAGGGUAAAUUAAAUAAUUUAAUUAUUUUACUUUCCCGAAUGAAAAAGGCCAACUAAAUUAAUUAUUUACUUGUUUCAAUAAGUUUUAAAAUAUUUUAGUAGUAAUUAUACGUUAAUCGCUUUUUGUUUAUCUGGUUAUUGAGGAUUUAAUUCAAUUAAUUAUUAUUUUAUAAAUUUAGUAUUAAUUUUUAUAAUAAAAUGUUAUUAGGGAUAAUCUUAAUAAUGUAUAUUACAGUUUGUGUUAUUAUAGAAGUUUAUUUUCUUUAAAAUUUUGAAUUAAGUUUUUAUUAAAUUAGUUUUAUUUAUUAAUAUUUUGUUAAACUUACUUUUUUACUCAAUUAAUCUAUUUAAUUUCUAUAUUUAUUUGAUAAUGAUUUAAUUAGUAUAAUUUUUAAUUUGUGUAUAAUGAAUUCGACAAAGUUUAUUUCCAACUGUUUAACAAAAACAUUUCUUUUUGAUUAUUUAUAAAAAGUAUAUUCUGCCCUAUGAUUUUUUUAAAUGGCUGCAGUAUUUUGACUGUGCAAAGGUAGCAUAGUAAUUAGUUUCUUAAUUAGAAGCUUGUAUGAAUGGAUGAAUGAGAUAUAUAUUUUAUUAAUUAAAUUUUUAUAAUUUAAAUUUUAAGUUAAAAUUCUUAAGUACUUUCUUGGGACGAUAAGACCCUAUAGAACUUUAUUAUCAUUGAUUUAGUUAAUUUUUGUAUAAUAUAUCUUACUAAGUUUCGGAUUGUUUUGCUGGGGUGGUGUGUAAAUUUUAACUUUACAUUUUUUUGUCAUUAAUUUAUGUAUAUUUUGAUCUUAUUGGAUUACAAGAUAAAGUUACCUUAGGGAUAACAGCGUAAUUUUAAUGGGGAGUUCAUAUCUAUAUUAAUUUUGCGACCUCGAUGUUGAAUUAAGGAAAGAUUAAGGAGCAGAAGUCUUAAGUCUGAGUCUGUUCGACUUUUAAAUCCUUACAUGAUUUGAGUUCAAACCGGCGUGAGCCAGGUUGGUUUCUAUCUUAGAAUUUAAUAGAUUUAAUUAGUACGAAAGGACCAUUAAUUUUCACUUAGGUGAUAUUUAUUUUAAU
rnacentral:rRNA from 1 species